rnacentral:snRNA from 1 species
GGAUGUGAGGGUGAUCUGGCCUUGCCUCUGUCACCUCAUUGAUCAGUGAGGUUAACUUGGCUGAUCUGGUAGACUAGGAGAGUUCCUCCUCCCUCGCUGUUCUCUUCUUGUAUGUUCUUCUGAAGCUGUGUGCUCAGUGGGAGAGGGUGAUUUGCCCUAGCAGAGGAGGACCAGUCUUCCACCAAAGGGAUGGAAGGAGCUGAACUCCCCUGCUAAGUCCUCCUAAGAAGCCCUCAAGGGCCAUUUGUAGGAGACUGUAGGGUAGUCCAGCUUCCAAGACUCCAAAAGCAGCACUGCAUGUGGCAGCCUGCCUGUCUUA